AUUGAACGCUGGCGGCAGGCUUAACACAUGCAAGUCGAGCGGGGAAAGGUAGCUUGCUACCUGACCUAGCGGCGGACGGGUGAGUAAUGCUUAGGAAUCUGCCUAUUAGUGGGGGACAACAUUCCGAAAGGAAUGCUAAUACCGCAUACGCCCUACGGGGGAAAGCAGGGGAUCUUCGGACCUUGCGCUAAUAGAUGAGCCUAAGUCAGAUUAGCUAGUUGGUGGGGUAAAGGCCUACCAAGGCGACGAUCUGUAGCGGGUCUGAGAGGAUGAUCCGCCACGCUGGGAGUGAGACACGGCCCGGACUCCUCCGGGAGGCAGCAGUGGGGAGUAUUGGACAAUGGGCGAAAGCCUGAUCCAGCCAUGCCGCGUGUGUGAAGAAGGCCUUUUGGUUGUAAAGCACUUUAAGCGAGGAGGAGGCUACUUGGAUUAAUACUCUAGGAUAGUGGACGUUACUCGCAGAAUAAGCACCGGCUAACUCUGUGCCAGCAGCCGCCGUAACAC
rnacentral:rRNA from 1 species